rnacentral:rRNA from 1 species
UACGUAGGGGGCAAGCGUUGUCCGGAUCUAUUGGGCGUAAAGAGCGUGUAGGCGGCCAUGCAGGUCAGCUGUGAAAACUCGAGGCUCAACCUCGAGACGUCGGUUGAAACCGUAUGGCUAGAGUCCGGAAGAGGAGAGUGGAAUUCCCGGUGUAGCGGUGAAAUGCGCAGAUAUCGGGAAGAACACCUAUGGCGAAGGCGGCUCUCUGGACCGAUACUGACGCUGAGGCGCGAAAGCGUGGGGAGCAAACAGG